GACGAACGCUGGCGGCGUGCUUAACACAUGCAAGUCGAACGGAAAGGCCCUGCUUUUGUGGGGUUCUCGAGUGGCGAACGGGUGUGUAACACGUGAGUAACCUUCCCUUUACUUUGGGAUAACUUCAGGCAAUUGGUGCUAAUACCUGCUAGGAGCUCCUGCUGCAUGGUGGGGUUUGGAAAGUUUCGGCGGUUGUGGAUGGACUCGCGGCUUAUCAGCUUGUUGGUGGGGUAGUGGCUUACCAAGGCUUUGAAGGGUAGCCGGCCUGAGAGGGUGAACGGCCACAUUGGGACUGAGAUACGGCCCAGACUCCUACGGGAGGCAGCAGUGGGGAAUAUUGCACAAUGGGCGGAAGCGUGAGGAAGCAACGCCGCGAGCGGGAUGAAGGCCUUCGGGUGGGAAACCGCUGUCGCCUGUGACGAAGCGGGAGUGACGGUAAUGGGUAAAGAAGCACCGGCUAACUACGUG
rnacentral:rRNA from 1 species